CUGUUCGAGCGUCAUUUCAACCCUCAAGCUCUGCUUGGUAUCGGGCCGCACCGGCAACGGUGGGCCUCAGAAUCAGUGGCGGUGCGUCUGGCUCUAAGCGUAGUAAUUCUCCUCGCUAUAGACGUCUGGCGGUGUCCGGCCAGCAACCCCCCAUUCUUAUGGUUGACCUCGGAUCAGGUAGGGAUACCCGCUGAACUUAA
rnacentral:misc_RNA from 1 species